rnacentral:rRNA from 1 species
UACGUAGGGUGCGAGCGUUGUCCGGAAUUACUGGGCGUAAAGUGUGCGCAGGUGGCUGAGCAAGUCGAGUGUGAAAUCCCCGGGCUUAACUUGGGAAUUGCGCUCGAAACUACUUGGCUCGAGUGUGGCAGAGGAAGGUGGAAUUCCAGGUGUAGCGGUGAAAUGCGUAGAGAUCUGGAGGAACACCGAUGGCGAAGGCAGCCUUCUGGGCCAACACUGACGCUCAUGCACGAAAGCGUGGGGAGCAAACAGG